rnacentral:rRNA from 1 species
CAAUAGCGUAUAUUAAAGUUGUUGCAGUUAAAAGCUCGUAGUUGGAUUUGUGGUUGAGCUGUCCGGUCCGACACUUUUGUGUGGGUACUUGGACGGCUCGUCCAUCCUUGGGUGGAAUCUGUGUGGCAUUAGGUUGUCGUGCAGGGGAUGCCCAUCUUUUACUGUGAAAAAUUAGAGUGUUCAAAGCAGGCUUAUGCCGUUGAAUAUAUUAGCAUGGAAUAAUGAGAUAGGACCUUGGUACUAUUUUGUUGGUUUGUCGCACCGAGGUAAUGAUUAAUAGGGACAGUUGGGGGUAUUCGUAUUCCAUUGUCAGAGGUGAAAUUCUUGGAUUUUUGGUAAGACGAACUACUGCGAAAGCAUUUACCAAGGAUGUUUUCAUUAAU